UACCUGCAGCUCAAGUGGUGGCCGUUAUUAUUGGGCCUAAAACGUCCGUAGCCGGUUUAUUAAAUGCCUGGGUAAAUCGGGCCGCUUAACGGUUCGAAUUCCGGGUAGACUGAUAGACUUGGGACCGGGAGAAGCUAGAGGUACUCCUGGGGUAGAGGUGAAAUUCUGUAAUCCUAGGGGGACCACCAGUGGCGAAGGCGUCUAGCUAGAACGGGUCUGACGGUGAGGGACGAAGCCCUGGGGCGCAAACCGGAUUAGAUACCCGGGUAGUCCAGGGUGUAAACGCUGCUUGCUUGAUGUUAGUCGGGCUCCGAGCCCGAUUAGUGUCGGAGAGAAGUUGUUAAGCAAGCUGCCUGGGAAGUACGGCCGCAAGACUGAAACUUAAAGGAAUUGGCGGGGAGCACCACAAGGGGUGAAGCCUGCGGUUC
rnacentral:rRNA from 1 species